rnacentral:lncRNA from 1 species
GGAGCGGCGCGCGCGCGCCCGUCUUUCCCUCGGCGGCCCCCGCGGCUCGGACCCGGGCCGGCAGACAGGCCAUCCAUCAUCCGCCCUCCUCCCGCGGAGCGCCGCAGCCGCCGCGGCCAAUCCGGCGGCAGGUGGGGCCGCACCUGCGCGACAGCCCGCCGCUUCCCUCCGCUCCCUUCGCCGCGCCUCGCGUGCUAGCGGUGCCCUUGUGAGCCACUGCGUUCUCCAAGGCCAGAACGGGACAGUUGACGAUGGUCGUACUUCUCCAUGUUCUGAGACCAGUUUAAACAAAAACAAAAACCAGACAACAACCUUGCAAGGGAAAGAAUUCAGAGUAAAUAAACAGUCUUUUUCUGGGAAGUAAAAUAUUUCCCUAAGAUGGAGAAAUUGAGAUGAGAGCUCAUCCACAAGAUUACCCAUCAAUGAGCACCAAUAGCAACCAAAUCCACUAGAAGACUGGGAGCUUUUAAGUCAAGAAACUUACAUCAGUAUCAUCAUUCCAAGAAGCGGUAUCCAAGCUGUUUUAUCGAAAGUGCGCAUGGGAGAUAAGACUCUGAGAAUUUAUAGAAACAAACAUUAGAAGGCAGGAAUGUGGAGAGAAGAAAGCUACCUGACAAGGGAAUCUCAGGAUACAAGGAAAACACCAAGGAUGUGAGAAUG